UUUUUUAAUGAAUGCUUAUGUAGGUUGUUAAUGUUCUUUUCGUUCUGUUUGGUUGGCAUGAAAAAGAGGAAAUAUGAAUGCAAAAAAAGAUACCUUGUAUUCAGCUCUAGAGAGUAUAUCUUUUUGUUAUUUUCCUUCUCCAGCCAAACAGUGCCUGAGGCUCCAGUUUUUGCUGCAGUGUUCAGGUCGACCAAUAGAGAUGGCAUCACUGCAUGCUAGUUUGACGUCAGCUGUGUGCCAGAAUGGAAGCCAUGCUGCUUCGGCAAAGUACCCAAGUACUGCCUUCUUGCCAGGGUUUGAUGUGGUUGGGCGGGUCUCGAGCGCAUCUAAGAAGGAAACAUUCGCUUUGUCUGUUAGCUCGAGCCCUAGUGCCACAUUAACCUUUGAUCCCCCAACAACCAAUUCAGAUAAGACCAAACAAAGGAAGCAUACAGUUGAUCCUGCUUCUCCUGAUUUUCUGCCUCUUCCAUCCUUUGAACAAUGUUUUCCAAAGAGCACCAAAGAAUACAAGGAAGUUAUUCAUGAACAAUCUGGUCAUGUGCUCAAGGUUCCCUUUCGAUGCGUCCACCUAGCUGGGGAUGAGCCAAACUUUGACACUUACGACACCACCGGUCCUCAAAAUUACAGCCCCCGCACUGGACUACCAAAACUGCGCAAAGACUGGGUUGACAAGCGGGAGAAAUUAGGUGCUCCCAGAUACACGCAAAUGUACUAUGCUAAGCAGGGAAUUAUAACUGAGGAAAUGUUGUUCUGCGCCACUCGAGAGAAGCUUGACCCAGAAUUUGUGCGGUCAGAGGUUGCUCGUGGGCGAGCAAUCAUACCUUCCAAUAAGAAGCACUUGGAGCUGGAGCCAAUGAUAGUUGGAAGAAACUUUUUGGUCAAAGUGAAUGCCAACAUUGGAAAUUCUGCUGUUGCUAGCUCUAUCGAAGAAGAGGUUUAUAAGGUCCAGUGGGCAACUAUGUGGGGUGCAGACACUGUCAUGGAUCUCUCUACAGGUCGCCACAUCCAUGAGACACGCGAGUGGAUCCUUCGUAACUCUGCUGUACCAGUAGGGACUGUACCUAUCUAUCAAGCACUUGAAAAAGUCAACGGAAUUGCCGAAAACCUUACUUGGGAAGCUUUCAGAGACACCCUGAUUGAACAAGCUGAGCAGGGUGUAGAUUACUUCACUAUUCAUGCUGGGGUUCUGCUACGAUACAUCCCACUAACAGCGAAGCGAAUGACAGGUAUUGUUUCCCGCGGAGGAUCCAUUCAUGCAAAGUGGUGCUUAGCUUACCAUAAGGAGAAUUUUGCAUAUGAGCACUGGGAUGACAUACUUGACAUCUGUAAUCAAUAUGAUGUGGCCCUGUCAAUCGGAGAUGGGCUAAGACCUGGGUCCAUUUAUGAUGCAAAUGACACUGCUCAGUUUGCAGAGCUCUUGACUCAGGGAGAAUUGACCCGAAGAGCAUGGGAAAAGGAUGUACAGGUCAUGAAUGAAGGUCCUGGACAUAUUCCAAUGCACAAGAUUCCUGAAAACAUGCAAAAACAGCUGGAAUGGUGCAACGAAGCACCUUUCUACACUCUUGGCCCUUUAACUACUGACAUCGCCCCUGGAUAUGAUCACAUCACCUCUGCAAUUGGUGCUGCCAAUAUUGGGGCUCUGGGCACUGCUCUUCUGUGUUAUGUAACUCCAAAAGAACACCUUGGGUUGCCAAACCGGGAUGAUGUGAAGGCUGGAGUUAUAGCAUAUAAGAUAGCUGCUCAUGCAGCUGAUUUAGCCAAAGGUCACCCACAUGCUCAAGCCUGGGAUGAUGCAUUAAGCAAGGCGAGAUUUGAGUUCCGGUGGAUGGACCAAUUUGCUUUGUCAUUGGACCCCAUGACUGCUAUGUCCUUCCAUGACGAAACCCUGCCAGCAGAAGGUGCUAAGGUAGCCCAUUUUUGUUCCAUGUGCGGACCUAAAUUCUGCUCUAUGAAAAUAACAGAGGAUGUGAGGAAGUAUGCUGAGGAGCAUGGCUAUGGAAGUGCUGAGGAAGCUGUGCAGCGUGGGAUGGAUGCUAUGAGUGCUGAGUUUCUGGCUGCUAAGAAAACUGUCAGUGGAGAACAACAUGGUGAAAUAGGUGGAGAAAUAUACUUGCCAGCAAGUUCCUUGAGUUCCUCAGAGGGUUGAAGGAUCAAACGUACGAGGAUAAUCGGUUUGGAAAUCUUGGAGACAUGGUGCAUGAUUGGCGUAUCAAGAACACUCUUGGAAAGUUGUGAAGGGUGCCUGAAUCUGCUUAAGCUCUAGCUAAAACAUGGCUAGGAUGUCACGCAGGUCAGGCUGAGACAGUCCCUUUGAACCUGAACAGGAUAAUGCCUGCGUAGGGAGCGUGCAUUUUCUUUUUGCCUGUUUUUUUUUUCUGUGCUUGCACAGGUGGGGAGCUUCUAUCCAUGGUUCGGGAUUCCUGAUCCAUGUGAGGCAGAUUCAAUCUCAUUGCCAGGCUGAUAUAAGUCGUGGGGCUGGGAAGUAGCUGAAACUGGCUUCCAUGUUUCUUCUAUGCUCCAUCAUAAGAGUAUGAGGAAACGGUCAUAAAAAGCGGAUUUUAACGCAUGUUAUGGAGUUUUUCACACCCUAUGGGUAGUAUCUAUUUAUUAAUAUGAUGUGAGACGACUAAAAUACCUAUUGCUUCACAUUAAAAAGAAAAAAAGAUAAGUUCUUGAUAGGGAAAAUUAUAAACUUACAAUUACUCUCUAUGAAAAAAUCCAUUUAGCGAACA